rnacentral:rRNA from 1 species
UACGGGGGGAGCAAGCGUUGUUCGGAUUUACUGGGCGUAAAGGGCGCGUAGGCGGCGCAACAAGUCACUUGUGAAAUCUCCGGGCUUAACCCGGAGCGGUCAAGUGAUACUGUCGUGCUAGAGUGCGGAAGGGGCUACUGGAAUUCUCGGUGUAGCGGUGAAAUGCGUAGAUAUCGAGAGGGAACACCCUGCGGCGAAGGCGGGUUGCUGGGCUGACACUGACGGUGAUGCGCGAAAGCCCAGGGGAGCGAACGGG